AGCUCCAAUAGCGUAUAUUAAAGUUGCUGCAGUUAAAAAGCUCGUAGUUGCAUUUCCGAGGCAAGGGAUUAGUCCGACCUUUGGUGGGUAUUUAAUCCUCUUGCCUCGUACUUGAGUGGUGCUUCUUGGUAUUAAGUUAUCGAGGAGAUAGCCGCUCAUCGUUUACUGUGAGAAAAUUAGAGUGUUCAAAGCAGGCUUAUGCCGUUGAAUAUAUUAGCAUGGAAUAAUAAGAUAGGACCUCGGUACUAUUGUGUUGGUUUGAGAACCAAGGUAAUGAUGAAUAGGGACAGUUGGGGGUAUUCGUAUUCAGUUGUCAGAGGUGAAAUUCUUAGAUUUACGGAAGACGAACUACUGCGAAAGCAUUUACCAAGGAUGUUUUCA
rnacentral:rRNA from 1 species